GACGGAGGAGGCAAGCGUUAUCCGGAAUUAUUGGGCGUAAAGCGUCCGCAGGCGGCUUUUUAAGUCUGUUGUCAAAGGUCACAGCUCAACUGUGGAUCGGCAAUGGAAACUGGGGAGCUAGAGUGUGGUAGGGGUAGAGGGAAUUCCCGGUGUAGCGGUGAAAUGCGUAGAUAUCGGGAAGAACACCAGUGGCGAAGGCGCUCUACUGGGCCACAACUGACGCUGAGGGACGAAAGCUAGGGGAGCGAAAGGG
rnacentral:rRNA from 1 species